rnacentral:rRNA from 1 species
GAUGAACGCUAGCUACAGGCUUAACACAUGCAAGUCGAGGGGUAACAAGAGAAAAGCUUGCUUUUCUUGUUGACGACCGGCGCACGGGUGAGUAACGCGUAUCCAACAUGCCUAUAACUAGGGAAUAACCUUGCGAAAGUAAGACUAAUACCCUAUGAUUUCCUUUGAUGGCAUCAGAUUAGGAAUAAAGAUUUAUCGGUUAUAGAUGGGGAUGCGUCUGAUUAGCUUGUUGGCGGGGUAACGGCCCACCAAGGCAACGAUCAGUAGGGGUUCUGAGAGGAAGGUCCCCCACAUUGGAACUGAGACACGGUCCAAACUCCUACGGGAGGCAGCAGUGAGGAAUAUUGGUCAAUGGGCGGAAGCCUGAACCAGCCAAGUAGCGUGCAGGAUGACGGCCCUAUGGGUUGUAAACUGCUUUUAUACAGGAAUAAAGUUAGCCACGUGUGGUUAUUUGUAGGUACUGUAUGAAUAAGGACCGGCUAAUUCCGUGCCAGCAGCCGCAGUAA